AUGAACGCUGGCGGCGUGCCUAAUACAUGCAAGUCGAGCGAACAGACGAGGAGCUUGCUCCUCUGACGUUAGCGGCGGACGGGUGAGUAACACGUGGAUAACCUACCUAUAAGACUGGGAUAACUUCGGGAAACCGGAGCUAAUACCGGAUAAUAUAUUGAACCGCAUGGUUCAAUAGUGAAAGACGGUUUUGCUGUCACUUAUAGAUGGAUCCGCGCCGCAUUAGCUAGUUGGUAAGGUAACGGCUUACCAAGGCAACGAUGCGUAGCCGACCUGAGAGGGUGAUUGGCCACACAGGAACUGAGACGCGGUCCAGUCUCCUGCGGGAGGGAGCAGUAGGCAAUCUUGCGCAAUGGGCGACAGCCUGACGGAGCAGCGACGCGUUAGUGAUGAAGGUCUUCGGAUCGUAAAACUCUGUUAUUAGCGAAGAACAAAUGUGUAAGUACGUAUGCACGUCUUGACGGUACCUAAUCAGAAAGCCACGGCUAACUACGUG
rnacentral:rRNA from 1 species